rnacentral:rRNA from 1 species
UACGUAGGGGGCAAGCGUUGUCCGGAUUUAUUGGGCGUAAAGAGCGUGUAGGCGGCCAUGUAGGUCCGUUGUGAAAACUCGGGGCUCAACCUCGAGACGCCGAUGGAAACCAUGUGGCUAGAGUCCGGAAGAGGAGAGUGGAAUUCCCGGUGUAGCGGUGAAAUGCGCAGAUAUCGGGAAGAACACCCGUGGCGAAGGCGGCUCUCUGGGACGGUACUGACGCUGAGACGCGAAAGCGUGGGGAGCAAACAGG